rnacentral:rRNA from 1 species
UACGUAGGGUGCAAGCGUUGUCCGGAUUCAUUGGGCGUAAAGAGCUCGUAGGCGGCCACUCAAGUCGAAUGUGAAACCUCGAGGCUUAACCUCGAGCCUGCAUUCGAUACUGGGCGGCUAGAGUCUGGUAGGGGGAUCUGGAAUUCCUGGUGUAGCGGUGGAAUGCGCAGAUAUCAGGAGGAACACCGGUGGCGAAGGCGGGAUCCUGGGCCAGUACUGACGCUGAGGAGCGAAAGCGUGGGGAGCGAACAGG